GUCGUCCUUCCUCCACCCGUCUGCCCCCUCCUCCGCGCCGCGCCUGUUCAUGGCCAGGAAGAGGACGGCGGCGCGCCAUCAGCACCAGGAACCACCGCCAAACCCUAACCCUAACCUCCGCCGCCGGGCCGCGGCCAGCGACCCGGCCUCGGACGAGCCGCCGCCGUCGUCGAAGCGCAUGCUGGCCUUUCACUUCCUCCGCGCGCUGGCCAGGAUCCACAGCACCACCCCGGCGCCGCGCCGCCCGCGCACCAUCCGCCGCGCGGCCUACUCGUCCAUGGCGCGCGCUGCCAGCCCACGCCGGGCCUGGACGCAGGCGCUGCUCCGCCAGGCUCGCGCGCGCAGGGCGGCUGCCAGGUCCUCCAGGGGAGCCGUCCUGCUGCGGAGACGCGUCGCCUCCGCCGCGGCGUCUCCUCCGCCGCCGCUGCUCCGCGCCAGCGCCGGGGAGUCCACGUCGGCGCCGACGCCGCUGGCUCCGGCGGCCGUGGCGGCCCGGGGCCCGCCUCCGAGGCAGGCCGGGGAACCGGCCAGGGCCGACGCGCUCCGCCGGCUCGUCCCCGGCGGCGCGGAGAUGGAGUACGGCAGCCUCCUCGACGAGACCGCCGACUACGUGCGCUCCCUCCGCGCGCAGGUGCAGCUCAUGCAGAGCCUCGUCGACCUCUUCUCCGCCCAAUGAUCGAUCGUCCAACAACCGAACCAGUAAUUAAUUAAUACCGCUGGUUAAUUAAUUCCUGUUCUUGCACCGUCCAUCGUUCGCCGCGCCGCCGCCUUUCGUAUCUAUAUCAUCGCAUAUCUCUUCUUCGUGCCACAUAUGAGAUGGAUGAGUGAUUAAGAUAGGAGAUUAUUGAGAAGAGAUUGUUAUUGCUGGUACAUAUAUAUAUUUAGCUGGUAAGAUAAGAUUAUUAGUAGGUGUAUGUAUAGGUUGGGAACAUACAUGCAUGGAAGAUGGUACCACACACACCAAGCAGCAUUGGAGGGAGAGGAGAUUAUUAUUGAGGUAAUUAAUUGUAACAUAUAUAGAGAGAGAAUUGAAGCAUGGAGCCACAUACAUACAUACAUAAGCUAUUAGUGCAGUGCUUGCUGUUGGGUCAGAUGAUUGGGUAUGCAUAUAUAUUUGUAAAAAAUUGUGGAGCCAUGUCAUGUAUCUUUUGUACCUAGCUACUAGCUACACAUGUAGGUAGCUGUGUGAUACA